rnacentral:lncRNA from 1 species
AUAAUAUUUCUUCAGUUAUCAAUUAUGCUAAUUUUAUAUAUUGUUAUAAAUUAUAUUUGCUGUACAUAUUUCAAAUCUCUUUACGUUACACAGUCACAAAGUUGUUGUCGGUUUCUGGGUGCUCCGUGUGAUUGUUGACAGGAGACAGAUAUGGGAAGCCCUCUGAGUUCUGAGGUGGUGUCUCUGUCUUGCUGUCAGUGGUCACAUGGUUGGCGUUUAGAGGUUGACACAAGAAGCCGGUAAAAAAUUAAAUAAAAUUAUUAAUAAUUCUGAUAAAAUACGGCAAAACCAUCGAUAAUGCUAGUCAACCAACAUAUUUAUUAAUUUUAAACUGUGACGAGUUUUUUACGAUUUGUUGUUUUGAGACGUAAUUUCGUAUGUAGGUACAUGUACAAAACCAUGAAGUGGAAAAAGUUAUUCUAUCCAACAUAAAUCCUUUCUCUAUAAAUGUGAAAUGAUUUUCUUAACUGCCACACAACUAAACUGGACGAAUUGGAAUAAGUCAAACCGACAGAUGUUACUUAUGUUUUUAGUAAUAACGCAACAACCUCUAGAAAUAAAUUGUUAUGGAUUUUUUAAAAUGAAUCGAGAAGAGCUUCUAAGGGUCAGCAGAUUAGUACAUGUAUUUUUAACAUGGUAUAAGAGCUGUAAAAAUUAAAUUGUAAUUUUCGAAAACACAGUAAAGUGGAUCUGUCAUUCAAAUUAUGAAACAGCUGUUUAAAAUGGUUGAUUAAUUGAAAUAUUAAGCCCGAAUGAAUUCAAUUUUUGCAUAUUUUUCAUAGAAGUCUACUUUUUUACUGUACGCCUGUCAACGGGAGCAAGAAUAGGAUAUUACCUCCGAAUUGUAUCCUACUGCAUGGAUUUUAAUAAAAUU